GAUGAACGCUGGCGGCGUGCUUAACACAUGCAAGUCGAACGGAAAGGCUCCUGCUUGCAGGGGUACUCGAGUGGCGAACGGGUGAGUAACACGUGGGUGAUCUGCCCUGCACUUCGGGAUAAGCCUGGGAAACUGGGUCUAAUACCGGAUAGGACGACGGUUUGGAUGCCAUUGUGGAAAGUUUUUUCGGUGUGGGAUGAGCUCGCGGCCUAUCAGCUUGUUGGUGGGGUAAUGGCCUACCAAGGCGUCGACGGGUAGCCGGCCUGAGAGGGUGUACGGCCACAUUGGGACUGAGAUACGGCCCAGACUCCUACGGGAGGCAGCAGUGGGGAAUAUUGCACAAUGGGCGAAAGCCUGAUGCAGCGACGCCGCGUGGGGGAUGACGGCCCUCGGGUUGUAAACUCCUUUCGCUAGGGACGAAGCGCAAGUGACGGUACCUGGAGAAGAAGCACCGGCUAACUACGUG
rnacentral:rRNA from 1 species